GAUGAACGCUGGCGGCGUGCCUAACACAUGCAAGUCGAGCGAGAAUUUGUGGAAUGCGGUUUCGGCCAAGUGAAGCGAAGGAAAGCGGCGGACGGGUGAGUAACGCGUGAGCAACCUGCCCCAUGGACUCGGAUAGCCACUGGAAACGGUGAUUAAUACGGGAUGAGACAGCAAAGCUGCAUAGCUGAGCUGUAAAAGAUUUAUCGCCAUGGGAUGGGCUCGCGUCUGAUUAGCUAGUUGGUGAGGUAACGGCUCACCAAGGCGACGAUCAGUAGCGGACCUGAGAGGGUGAUCGGCCACACUGGAACUGAGACACGGUCCAGACUCCUACGGGAGGCAGCAGUGGGGAAUAUUGCACAAUGGGCGCAAGCCUGAUGCAGCAACGCCGCGUGGAUGAGGAAGGCCUUCGGGUCGUAAAAUCCUGUCCUAGAGGAAGAAAAAAAUGACGGUACUCUAGGAGGAAGCCCCGGCAAACUACGUGCCAGCCGCCGCAGUAAAAC
rnacentral:rRNA from 1 species